rnacentral:lncRNA from 1 species
CUAUUAAGACAACUGAUUAAAAUUAUUGCUUACAAAUGCCCAGCAUAUACCACGCUGCAUGCUAUGUAGUGUGAUUUUUUCCAUCUACAUCUUUGUUUUUAGGAUUUUGUUUGUUUGUUUGUUUGUUUUUUGAGACAGGGUUUCUCUGUGUAUAGCUUUGGAGCCUAUCCUGGCACUCGCUCUGGAGACCAGGCUGGCCUCCAACUCAUGGAGAUCCGCCUGCUUCUGGCAUCUGAGUGCUGGGAUUAAAGGCGUGUGCCACCAAUGCCCAGUUAAGAUUUUUAUUUUUUUAAUUUUAUGUGUAUAAAUGUUUGCUACAUGCUUGUGUCUAUACCACCUUGAGUACCUGGUGCCUCUAAAGCCAGAAGGUGUUGGAUCACCUGGGACUAAAGUUACUUGGUUGUAAGCCACCAUGUGGGUGCUGGGAAUUAACAUGGGUUCCCAGGAAGAGCAGCCAGUACUCUUAACGGAUGAGUCCUCUCUCCAGCCUCUUAUUUAAUGAUUUUUAAAAAGAUUGUGUGUGUGUGUGUGUGUGUGUGUGUGUGUACACGCGCGCGCCAGCACUCACACACCCACUUCUUUUGUUAGACCCCCGAAAACUCAAGUAUCCGGGGUCCCAGGCCACGUUCGAGGUCACCCCAAUCACCAGGCGGAUUCAAGAGCUUGCUGCAAACUGCAUAAGGCUUUAUUGUAAUUUAACGAGCUAACCCCAUGUUAGCUCGGGUCUUUCACACAUCCGCCAUGGCGGAUGGCUCCCAAAAGACAGUUUGAAGCCGCUGUGCACAGAUCUUUAUAGGGCAGCAUAAGGGGAGUGUCUAGGGGUACGCACAAGCUCACGAUUGGUGUGCCUCCAGGCUUGGAGGGCUUGCCCUGUGUUGAUUGGUCAACUGGUUGUUAUGGCCCAUAGGCCCUCCCAGGGUGGUUGCUAUGCUCUCUGCGUCAUUGCUGUGCGCUUGUCCGUAAAGCACACCCAGGGUCGUAAAGCAUAGCAUCACCAGCUAACUUCUGAUUGGCUCCUUGUCACGAGACAGGCAUCUGACUUUCUAGUGUCUGGGACAAGGUCAUAGAAGCACGUGUUCGGCCGUUAUGGCUGCCAAAAGGAAAGCUGGUUCCUUCACUUUGAGUGUAUCUGCUGAGGUGUUUCAGGCAGCUUCCAUUAGCUUUCCAUAGUAUAACUGCAUGCAAAGUACACAUGUGUGUUCAGAACCAUGGCUGUGGUGAAGUCCUUCGGUACUACACAGGAUCUUAUGUAACCCAAGACAGCCUGGAACUAUCUAUAGAGCCAUGGAUGACCUUGAAUUCCUGAUCCGCCUGCCCCUACCUCCCAAGUUCUGAGGUGACAGCAUUUCUAUGCCUGGUUCCAGAUUUUUUGUAAUAU